UAGGAAGUAGGCACCACAAAGGUGGUGAUGAUUUCCAAACCUAUGUGAAUGAAAUGACUCAUGAUAAAUAAAAGUGGCAUAUGCUUAUUGCCUUAUUUGUGAGAACUGAGACUUAACUGGUGCAUAGAGUGCUGUUUGGUGUUACACAGAGAUUCAUCAAUAGGAGAGUGACUGCAUAAAUUAUGGCCCAUCAAUCCAUGGAAUACUACACAGCCAUGAAAACGAGUAAGUACUAGAAGACUGAUGCUGUAAGAUAUCUACAGUCCAUUGUCAAGUAAAAAAAAAAAAAACCCUUGUAGAGGCAUAAUUAGAAAUCUAUAAUAAACUGCAGACAACGAUUACCUCUAGGUAGUAGAAUUGUGUGUGUGUGUGUGUACGUAUGUGUUAUAUGAUACAUUUUUACAGGGUUUAAUUUUUAAAGACAAGCAUUUAUUUCCUGUAAUAAAACAUUUUAAAAUAGUUUUAGAAAGGAAUAUGUUGAGGGACUUCUUUCUUUUUUUGUUGUGAUAAAAUACAUAGAACAUAAUAUUUAUAAUUUUAACCAUUUGUAAGUGUACAAUUAGCACAAUUUAAAUAUGCUCACAAUGUUUUAUAACCGUCUCUGCUAUUUAUGACCCCCAAUUUUUAAUCAUUCCCAUCAAAAACGUCAUAUCUAUUAAACAAUCAUUUUCCCUUUCCCUCUCCCUGCAGCCCCUGGAUACCUCUAUUCUACUUUCUCUCUCUGGAUUUGAGCAACCAGGCAAAACCUGCCCCAGCCCUGUUGCAGCAGAGAUUUCAACCAGUCAGCUGUUGAAGAGAUGGCAGGCAAUGAGUCUGGCAUGUUCUAUGGGAAGAAAACAGAAACACCUGCAGCUUGUCUGACUGAGGCAGAAGAAACUGAUGGGAACAAUGUUCGGAGGGAAUGACUGAUGAAUGCUUGAUGGUGCUGUUUCAAGAGGAGACCUGGACGUCGGAAGUGAGUGGAGGGAAGGAGAGUGGGGCUGAGUUAUCUAAUAUGCUAGGGUCCAAGGAGGCAGACUAACUUGCUGAGGGCUAGCACUGUGGAGCAGAGCUA
rnacentral:lncRNA from 1 species